GAACCUCUAGAGAACGGGACAGGCAGCCUCAGUGCUCCAUCCACAUUCCACGGCUGCAUGAGCUGAUGCGACAGAAACCACGGAGACCGUGGCCCAGACUGCACCACCCUGAGUGGGUUCCAGAGGGAAGAACAAAAAGAAAACACAAUCCAGAGAAGCAGAAGAGAAGGAACCUUCCUUUUUACCAAAAGUGUAUAGCAAGCUUCAUGUUUGCAACCCCGGAGACAUGGUGUCACUGGGACAAUUUUGGCCUUUACAGAACCAGAAUUCUCCUGGAAAACUAACCGUUCCUCUGAGAAGCCACCUGCAACCACAGCAACCGGCACAGCCACUUCCGUUCCUCAAACUCACGUGGACACCCAUGAGAGCACGGGCAAACCAGCCAAGGCGUCCGCAGGUCCCCACACACUUACGCAGAGCCCCUACUUACUCUUUGCCAAGAGAGGGCAUGGCUGCAGGAAAAGUGUCAUCUCAACAAGUAGGCGAAUGCUGGCUGGUUGAUACCAGCUAUCCAAGUAGCCCAGGACAAAAGACAGCCCUAGGUGAUUCAUUUCUCAAAUGCAGAGCUGCACAGAGCUCUCCAGGCUGCCCAGGUAGACUGCCACACAAAGGUUUAACGCUAUCACCACGAUUACAUUUGACUGAUUGAAGUCCUGCCUGCCAGAGGCCUUAACCGCGGUGUUGCGUGAGUUCAGGCCGGAAAGAAUACACUCUUCUUCUGUCUGGUCUCAUUUUCAGCAACACGAAAAUGCUGAAAUGACAGGCUCGGUGGACAACAUUUCUGGUGAUGACACACACUUAAGCCUGCAACAAUGGCAAGAGAAAAAUGAUCUGAAUCAAAGAUGCCCUUUCUUUACCUCGCCUUCCCAAUCUUGGGUCCCCCUCCAUAUAAAGUUCGAACAGUCCUUUGGAGCAAAAAUGCAAAUAAAAUUUUUUAUGCUUCUUAACAGAAAGUCAGUUAAAGUUUAUACCAAUUUCACCAAACACCUGUGAUCUGGGAUUCACCUGUGAAUUUCUCAAACAGUACAGGGAAAGACUAAGUAUGAGCUGAACGACCGGAAGGCAUACAGAAAAUACAAUAAAUGGCUGGGCACAGUGGCUACAAUCCCAGCGCUUCA